rnacentral:rRNA from 1 species
AACGCGAAGAACCUUACCUACUCUUGACAUCCACGGAAUUAGCAGAGAUGCCUUAGUGCCUUCGGGAACCGUGAGACAGGUGCUGCAUGGCUGUCGUCAGCUCGUGUUGUGAAAUGUUGGGUUAAGUCCCGCAACGAGCGCAACCCUUAUCCUUUGUUGCCAGCGAUUCGGUCGGGAACUCAAAGGAGACUGCCGGUGAUAAACCGGAGGAAGGUGGGGAUGACGUCAAGUCAUCAUGGCCCUUACGAGUAGGGCUACACACGUGCUACAAUGGCGCAUACAAAGAGAAGCGACCUCGCGAGAGCAAGCGGACCUCAUAAAGUGCGUCGUAGUCCGGAUCGGAGUCUGCAACUCGACUCCGUGAAGUCGGAAUCGCUAGUAAUCGUGGAUCAGAAUGCCACGGUGAAUACGUUCCCGGGCCUUGUACACACCGCCCGUCACACCAUGGGAGUGGGUUGCAAAAGAAGUAGGUAGCUUAACCUUCGGGAGGGCGCUUACCACUUUGUGAUUCAUGACUGGGGUGAAGUCGUAACAAGGUAACCGUAGGGGAACCUGCGGCUUGGAUCACCUCCUU